AUUUUAAUCUGUGGACAGCAGAAAAAAAAUAGCAUGUUCACAGUCAGAAUGUGGAAGGUGAGCGAGGUAGAAGGUCUCUCCGAGAACAGAGGAACGAGGGAAUGGAAGGUGAGCGAGGUAGGUCUCUCCUAGAACAGAGGAAUGAGUCCCUGCUGAGGACCCUUGCAUGUCUGUGUGCAAUGUCUCUGUCUGUGUUAGCGUAGUUGUGACUCUCAAUGUCUGCGCAACAAAAUGUCUCUGUGAAGUUGAAAGUGCUCCACUGUUCAGUGUGUGUGUGUGUGUGGUGUGUGUUUCUGUCCUCGUGUCUGUGUAUCACAGGAGGAGCACACACCUCUAAAUGCGUCCCUGGCAUUGUAACAUUUAAUGUGUCAUUUAAAUCCGUGAGGGAUUAUAGCUCUGCUGUCAAAAGGAGCAAAAAAGCUCCUUGAAUCCAUUUGUUUUUUAAAGGACCAUCUCAGCCGGAUGGAUAGUCGGUGGGCAGCGGUGGUGAUUUGGAGCCUGGGUCAUGCUAAGAGUCCAGAGGAAAGCGUGGCACGGAACAAGUCUGUCCUAGAUUAAGAGCCUGCUCUAAUCCUCCAUUUCUGCGCACACAUUGGGUUUCCCUCAAUCUCAGCCUGACCGUCCUAAUGGGAGAACUAAAGCUGGAGGCCACAUAAUCACAACGUUAAAAGCCGCGAGAGAGGCAGAGAAAGAGAUACAGAGAGAGACAGGGAAAUAGUAAAUAAAAGAGUGUGUGUGAGAGAUGAACAGCUUGAUUGGGUUCAGUCCAGGUUGCAAAAGUCAUGUAACGUCCCCAGUGGAAAACAUUCCCGCAGUGUGAGGUGCAGUCAGGGUCCUGUUUGUCUGGACAACACCACCCCGGGGGCCUGGGAGUUUGUGGGCUCCUUGUCCAGGUACAGGCUGAAGUGCUGGAUGCUGCAGGAGCCUCUCGCUGGCCAGGGACAGGUUCUUAUCCCAGUUGGGUGGGUAGCCUGUGUGCCUCUCCACGAUUUCCUUACAUAGCUGUCAAUCACAAAGAACACAACUUGUAUACAAUGACCAUAACAAGCACCACUGUACAAAUCUUGACCAUAUACUGUAUGUGAUUAUGGUUAAUGCUCAUACACCCAUUUGUUUGCUAUGGGAGGACUGACUCUCUGUGUAGGAUAGCUCAAACAGGCGAGCUUUCUCCUCUCCCUGGAUCCUCUCAGCCAGGUCAAACAGGCGAGCUUUCUCCUCUCCCUGGAUCCUCUCAGCCAGGUCAAACAGGCGAGCUUUCUCCUCUCCCUGGAUCCUCUCAGCCAGGUCAAACAGGCCAGCUUUCUCCUCUCCCUGGAUCCUCUCAGCCAGGUCAAACAGACCAGCUUUCUCCUCUCCCUGGAUCCUCUCAGCCAGGUCAAACAGAAAGAAAGCCGUCUUCAUCCUGAAACAAAGAGACCAUAUCACAGGCUCAGAGCUAAGUUCUGGAUGGAUGAACUGUGGAGAUUUAUCCACAGAGAUGCACUAGGAGAAUAUAGUGAUUUAUGUAGAUGCUAG
ensembl:lncRNA